rnacentral:lncRNA from 1 species
UGUAUUCAUGCGAUGAUGCCCUAACCCUUGUUGGGCACGUAUUGAGGGAGUAAUCCUUGAAUCAAUACUGUAUAUGCGAUGUAGGCGAUGAUCCUUAGGGUGAGUCCUUAGGAACAAACAUAUAAGGAGAUGCGAGGUAAAUAUGAUGUAUGAGACGACCCUUAGGAUAAAUCCUUAGGGAAGGUACUUAGGAAUAAAGAAGAUAAUGGGGAUGGGUAAUUGGGUUAAUUGUUUGAUGAUUAUACAUAAUACUUAUAUUUUGGUGGGUUGAAAACCCUAUGUACUCACCAGGUUUCCCAACCUGGCCCACUCAGGUUACUUGUAUCACAAGUGACGAGGUGAAGUUACAUUACACUAAGAGAUUAAGGAGAUAUAGAUCAGUAGUGUAAAUGAAUGUAAGUUCAGUUUAUGCUUAUGUGUCUAUAUUGACGAUGACAUCCCAAAUUUUUUAAAAUGAAUAAAAAUAAAUUUCUUCGGAAAUGUUUUAAAAAUGAAAUUAUCAUGUUUUUUUUCUGGGAACAAAUUUUGCAAAGUUUUUAUUAAAAGAGAUACUCUGAUUUUUAUAAAGCAUAAACAAAAUCGGUCUUUUCUGGCCGUGAAAAUGGGGAUGUCAGAGUUGGUAUCAGAGCAUUAGUUUAAUCGAAAUAGGAAUAUGGAUUUAUUUCUAGACUUAAACAUAGAAUGCUAAGCAAUGCUUGUGAGGAGUGUGUCUAAUAAAAUUUAGGUAAUACACCUGAAUAGACACAAGCAAUAGCUUAUUUAGGGAAAAUUCCUAACGUGCUUUUUAUGUGGUAAAUGAUUUAUGAUGUUUUAUGAUGCUAAAUGUCUGAAUGGAUCUAUGGUCUGUUGUCAACCGGAUUUGGGAAAUUUUAUGUGUUCAGAUUUCUAAACGUUUAAUUACGGUAUUAGAACUGGCAUAUAAUUUUUCGAAGUAAUAGGGAGAUUUACACGUCGAUGGUAAAUAAAAUCCUUCCUAUCUUAAUUCUCGUCGUUUCGCACUGAACGUAUGAAUUUGUGUAUAGAUUGAAAUGGCAAGAACCCGAAGUGGAUUCGGGAAUGCAAAUGGAAAUGGGAACCAACAGCCCCCAGUGAUUGAGCAAAUACCUGUGGUAGUAGAAGUUGCACCUGAGUCGGUCACCAUGGCUGGAGUACAAGCCAUGAUUCGGGCUAUGUUAGCUGAACAAAGGGAGGAAAUGAGGCAGAUGUUGCAUGAAAAUAGGGACGAAUCUACCAUGCCCAUCGAGCAAACCGAGCCGAUUCCUGAGCAUUCGGAGGAAGGGAACUACAGCCGCCAAGUGAGUCAAGUAGGGACUCAAGGUGAACGAAUGAAUGGCCCAGAAAGGGGAAACGACAAGGAUGGGCGAAGGUACAAGAACUUCUUAAGUACAAGACCACCAAGUCUCUCAGGAAGCCCGAAGCCUGUGGAAAUUAUGGACUGGAUCUCCGAGAUGGAGAUGGUGUGUGAGAGUUGCGACUAUAGCAACAAGCAGAAAACCGUCUUUGCAGUCAUACAACUAAAGACCAAAGUCUUGAGUUGGUGGAAGCUAUUGGAAGAUACAAUGCCCAAGGGAAAAACAAGCAAGAUGUCUUGGGAAGAUUUCCUGGAGCAACUGAGAAUGUAGUACUACUCUGAGCAGGAUCUACUAGCGAUCAACAACGAGUUUCAGAACCUAAAGAAAGGAAAAAUGAGCGUCACCGAGUACACUGCAAGUUUUACGGAGAAGAUGAAGCUUGUUCCUUACCUAGUUCCAACGGAACUUUCCAAAGUCAACAGGUUUGACAAUGGAUUACCAGCACACUUUGGUCCAAUGGUCAAACAAGCAACCACUUUGAAAGCUGCCAUCUAGGCAGCCAAGAAUGUUGAGACCCAAAUAAGGGAAAAGGGUCUGGAAAAAGCUGAAGUUGGUGAAAAGAGGAAGUUUGAAGGAUCCUCAAGACGCAAUAAUAAGGGAAAUUUCUCAAAGUCUAACCUGGAGGACGAAAGGAAUGGAGCCAAGUGGUGUGAGAAGUGGAAGAAGAAGCACUUCAGAAGAUGCAAUAGAGAAGUGACAUGCUAUAACUGUGGUAGGACCGGUCACUAUUCCAUAGAUUGUACAUUCGACAGCAAGAAGUGCUACGAAUGUGGAAGUGAUGAGCAUAUUUCAAAGAACUGUCCAAAGAAAAACAAAGCAGCAAGACCAAAUGCACCGCCAAAACCAAGGGCAUUCCACAUGAUCCUCGAUGAAGCAUUCCACAUGAUCAUCUUACACAUAGAUAUGAAGUAUUUUAUAUAAAUUACGUGCUAUGUGUGCAUAUUAUCUGAAUAGUUGUUGUCUAUGCUAGAUGAAUGAUUUUAUACAUGUUUUAAAUGAUUUAAACUGUAUUUUUAUUUUAUAUCUACAAAUAUUUUGGGAUAAAACAUGGGUAGAUGAAAUAGUUGGUGUGUGAUGAAAUAAAAUGAUGAGAGAUAGGUGAUGAUAGGAAGGUGAGGAUAGAUAGGUGAUGAUGAAUCGGUGAUGUAGGAUAAAAGAUACUAUAACUUUGUCUGACAAUUUGGAGAUGUAGUCAUCUACGAGAGUUUAGAUGGCGACCAUGGACUAUUGUAAACAAUCCCAUGGAAACACCAGUAGGCCCAUAACCUAUAGGUGAUGAAUUACGAGUUCAGGCGAUGUUGUAACUACGUAUUCUUGCGAUGAUACUCUAACCCCUUACUAUGAAUUAAAAGUUCAGGCGAUGUUGUAACUACGUAUUCACGCGAUGAUGCUUUAACCCUUGUUCGGCACGUAUUGAGGGAGUAAUCCCUGAAUCAAUAUUGUAUAUGCGAUGUAGGCUAUGAUCCUUAGGGUGAGUCCUUAGGAGCAAACAUAUAAGGAGAUGCGAGGUAAAUAUGAUGUAUGAGACGACCCUUAGGAUAAAUCCUUAGGGAUGGUACUUAGGAAUAAAGAAGAUAAUGGGGAUGGGUAAUUGGGUUAUUUGUUUGAUGAUUAUACAUAAUACUUAUAGUUGGGUUAUUUGUUUGAUGAUUAUACAUAAUACUUAUAGUUUGGUGGGUUGAAAACCCUAUGUACUCACCAGGUUUCCCAACCUGACCCACUCAGUUUACUUGUAUCACAAGGG